rnacentral:rRNA from 1 species
UACGUAGGGUGCGAGCGUUGUCCGGAAUUAUUGGGCGUAAAGGGCUCGUAGGCGGUCCAUCGCGUCGGGAGUGAAAAGCUGGGGCUUAACCCCAGUCCUGCUUCCGAUACGGGUGGACUAGAGUACGGGAGAGGAAAGUGGAAUUCCUGGUGUAGCGGUGAAAUGCGUAGAUAUCAGGAGGAACACCGGUGGUGUAGACGGCUUUCUGGACCGACACUGACGCUGAGACACGAAAGCGUGGGUAGCAAACAGG